AACGAACGCUGGCGGCAUGCCUAACACAUGCAAGUCGAACGAACCCUUCGGGGUUAGUGGCGCACGGGUGCGUAACGCGUGGGAAUCUGCCCUUUGCUUAGGAAUAACAGUUAGAAAUGACUGCUAAUACCGGAUGAUGUCUUCGGACAAAAGAUUUAUCGGCAAAGGAUGAGCCCGCGUAGGAUUAGGUAGUUGGUGGGGUAAAGGCCUACCAAGCCGACGAUCCUUAGCUGGUCUGAGAGGAUGAUCAGCCACACUGGGACUUAGACACGGCCCAGACUCCUACGUGAGGCAGCAGUGGGGAAUAUUGUACAAUGGGCGCAAGCCUGAUCCAGCAAUGCCGCGUGAGUGAUGAAGGCCUUAGGGUUGUAAAGCUCUUUUACCAGGGAUGAUAAUGACAGUACCUGGAGAAUAAGCUCCGGCUAACUCCGUGCCAGCAGCCGCGGUAACAC
rnacentral:rRNA from 1 species